rnacentral:lncRNA from 1 species
CACAGCCAGGACCCAGUACUCCAGAUAAAUCAAUAUUCUUUCCUCUCCUUUGCUCCUAGGUCGAAGACUGAGUGUUGAUUCAUAUGAAAAAUAUCUUUUUCACUUCAAAACUCUCAGCCAGGAAAUGAACUUCAGUGGAAAGAAUAUAAACCUAUUUGAAGACAUAGAUCAGUGUGCCAAAAUUAUCAGUGAGUCUCCAAAAGGUUCUCCUAUCAAGAUUUUCUGAAUCUUCAUCUCUGCAAUGCUGCUACUUGGCUUCACCCUCCAAGUCUCCUCCUCUGGCUCCUUCCUCCACCCUCCCAUCCACCUGGAAUCAGGACUCUUCUUGGUUUGCUGAUUGAAUGUGCCUCUGAGGGGAAAAUUCAAAUAAACAGAGA